ACUAAAUCCCAUGAGGCGUUGUGGACAAUGGUCUGAUUGUUUUCUCCACCUAAUGCAGGUGAGAUGUGAAGCAGAGAAGCUCCAGGUCCUGCUGUUCUUUGAUAUCAUGAAGAUCACAUUUCCAGCUAAAUCCCAUUAAGCGUUGUGGACAAUGGUCUGAUUGUUUUCUCCUCCUAAUGCAGGUAAGAUGUGAAGCAGAGAAGCACCAGGUCCUGCUGUUCUUUGAUAUCAUGAAGAUCACAUUUCCAAAUUCAGAGUUCCGAGAAUCCAGAAAUCUAGUAUGUGGUCCUGGGGGAGCCGUGAUGACACCGUACCAGAAGCCAGCCUCCUCCAGCAAAAUCAAUCUGCUAACGUCUCAAUUAACAAUCUGAUUAGCCGUGUCUCCAUCAAGGCCUCACAACAUCAGGUCACUUGUAUGGAUGAUGAAUGGAGGCCAAAGUCUUAGAGGUCGAUUUCUGGC
rnacentral:lncRNA from 1 species